AGUGAGGGUGAGGCCGGGAUGCUGGGCCUGCACGCGCUUGCGGUGCGCGUCCAGUUCCUCUCCGAGCGCCCGGAUGCGCUCCUUCUCUGCC
rnacentral:tRNA from 1 species